rnacentral:rRNA from 1 species
CCUCCUCCGGGGCGCAGCAGUGAGGACUAUUGGUCAAUGGGCGGGCGCCUGCCCCCGCCCCUCCGCGUGCCGGCAGAAGGCGCCAAGCGUCGUAAACUUCUUUUGUCGGGGAACAAAGGGCGCCACGUGUGGCGUUGUGAGUGUACCCGAAGAAAAAGCAUUGGCUAACUCCGUGCCAGCAGCCGCGGUAAUACGGAGGAUGCGAGCGUUAUCCGGAUUUAUUGGGUUUAACGGGUGCGUAGGCGGUCCGGAAAGUCAGCGGUAAAAGCCCGGGGCUCAACCCCGGCGAGCCGUUGAAACUGUCG